UUUGCCUACGGGGGGCAGCAGUGAGGAAUAUUGGUCAAUGGUCGGGAGACUGAACCAGCCAAGCCGCGUGAGGGAGGAAGGUACAGAGUAUCGUAAACUUCUUUUGUCAAGGGACAAAAUCAGGCUCGAGAGCCUGACCGAGGGUACUUGAAGAAAAAGCAUCGGCUAACUCCGUGCCAGCAGCCGCGGUAAUACGGAGGAUGCGAGCGUUAUCCGGAUUUAUUGGGUUUAAAGGGUGCGUAGGCGGACUGUUAAGUCAGCGGUAAAAGCCCGGGGCUCAACCCCGGCGAGCCGUUGAAACUGGC
rnacentral:rRNA from 1 species